GGGAUCGUCGGUUCGACUCCUACUGAAAGAAGUAUGAUGAGGAAAUGCAUUUUCCGAUUCAGAAUGCCGGUCGGAAAAUGAAAUAGAAUGUAUAACAAGUGCAGAAAAGUGUAAAAUUUUAAAAUUAUGGGCAAUUGAAAAUAAUGUGUCUCAAGCAGUGUUGAGCGAUUUGCUAAGCGCUUUAAGAAAAAUAGGCAUUCAUGAUUUACCCUUAUCAGCAAAAACUCUGCUUGAAACUACAAAAAAUAAAUCGGUUAUUAAGAAUAUUUCGGGUGGAGAAUUUACGUAUAUUGGCAUUCAAACGCAUUUUGAAUCUCGUUCAUUUUCAUUUUUAAAUGAAAAAGAUCAAGUUUUAAUAGACGCAUUUUGAAUCUCGUUCAUUUCCAUUUUUAAAUGAAAAAGAUCAAGUUUUAAUAGAUGUUGGAAUAGAUGGUUUAAAGCUAUUCAGAAGUUCAAGUAAAGUACUAUGGCCUAUUCUUGGUUCAAUCGUUGAUUUUCCAAAAGAAAAACCUUUUACUAUUGCCUGCUUCUCAGGAAAACAAAAACCAAGCAAUGUUAAUGAAUUUAUGAAAGAUUUUUGUGACGAAGUAGUAUGUUUAAGAAAUAACGGUUUAAAAGUCGGUUUGAUUAACCCCAUUUUGAAAAGAUUUAAUGUUCGUUUAUUUACGUGUGAUUCGCCCGCGAGAGCUUUUGUGACUGGGGUUCAAAAUCAUAAUGCGAAAAAGGGCCUCCCUAAAUGUUGUCAAGUAGGUCAUUAUUUAGAAAAAAGGGUAUGCUUCUCUAAGAAACUAUGUGAAUUAAGAACCGAUUUUUCAUUCAAAAAUAGAAAUGAUUUGGCACACCAUAACGUAAAAUUUCGGGAAGAAGAAAAUGUUUUAGAAGAAGCGGGCUUUGGAAUGGUUUCUCAAUUUCCUUUAGAUCCCAUGCACCUCGUUGAUUUAGGUGUGGUUAAAAAACUCUUGCAUCUUCUAGUAAAUAAAGUAAACGUUAACGUAAUGAAUGAUAAGCUUUAAUUUCUUUCUGUCUGGGUGCCAUCUGAAUUCGGAAGAGUUUGCAGAAAUAUUGAUGAAACUGGAGAUCCACUGAAUAUAAACAAUUUUUACUAUACUCGGGUAUAUUUGUUUUGAAAAAUUGUGUUGAUGAACAUUUGUACUACCAUUUUCUUUUAUUACAUGCCAGUAUACGUAUUCUCUCUUCCGAAAGAUCUUACAAAGUAGAAGCAAAUAUUGUACAGCAAUUAUUAAAUGAAUUUGUUAAUUUGUUUGGAAAUAUUUAUGGGGAUCAUUUAAUAAGUUUUAACCUGCACGGCCUUCUUCAUUUGUCUUAUUGUGCCAAAGAAUAUGUACCCUUAGACACUUUUUCGGCCUACAAAUUCGAAAAUUAUAUGCAGCACUUAAAAAAACUUAUUAAAUCCCCCACAAAUAUUUUGCAACAGUGGUAUUUGAGAAUUGACGAAAGAAAAUAUUUAAUAGAAGAUAAACAUUCAAAACUUGAUGCGUUUUUCAUUAAUCAUAUAAAAGAGAAAAAUUCGUUUUGUUUUAGUGAAGAUACGGGACCUUUCAAAGUCAUAGAUAUGUGCAUAGAAUCAGAAGAGGAGGUAGUGGUCGGAUACAAAUUUAAAGAAAUAAGUAAUUACUUUAUUGAGCCUCUUGAAUCCUUUUCUGGACUUAGUAUUUUGCUUGCAAGCGGGUUAAGUGAUGAAAUAAUACGGUUUCCAAAAAAAAAUAUCAAAUACAAAUAAUUUUGCAUACCUUAUGAAAAUAAUUUUCUUUUAAUUCCAAUAUUACAUCACCUCUUUCACACUAGUUAUACAAGUUUAUUCUACUAUACAUUAGCAAAAUUUACUUGUUCCCAUUAAUAACACAUUUUCUUUUUCUUUGUUUUAACCAUGCCACGAAUUCUGGAGAAAUAUGAGUGAGGAAGCCGAUAUUUUCAAUUGGACACCCCCGGCCACAUCCACCCCUAAGGACAGAAAAAGGAAAAGGCUUCAACUUUCCCUAGACUUCAACGCCUGUUCUUCAAAUCAAAUAUUAACAUCUUGUCACAGCCAGAGUGUGUUUGGAGCAACUGAAACACCAGUUGUUGCCGAAAUUUCAGCAACAAACAAAGAUGUAAUGGACAUGUUGGAAAUUAUAUUACAAAAGCAAACAAAUUUGGAGACCCGGUUGGAUAGCUUGGAAGGAAAAAUGCUUGACAAAACUGAUGUGAUGGCUCACCAUAAAGUCGUGCGUGAGUCGAGAGUGCUAAUUAAAAAAGUAAAAAGAGUGUUUGCCGCAUAUCCGGAGAAAGCUGCGAAGAUCUCCACACAGAACUGGCCGUUCUUAUGCCAAUGCAAUCUUUAGAUGCUGGUUUUGAUUUGGAGGAAAAGCUAAUAGAAAAAAAUUACGAAGACGGAAUGAUAUCAUAUCUUUUCACCAUAAAAGGCUCUUCAGGAGAUAUUGAAGCGGUGAUGGUCGAUGCGGCAGAAAAUCGCUAUCUAAGUUGAAAAUAGUUAGCGUGGCUCUGUUUGAUAUUUUCAAACUCCAGGGCCGUAUAGAGUUUGAAAAGGAAGUACGAAAGAGCGUCGAAUACAGCCAUAAUAGGUAAAAGCAGAAACGCUAUUCAUCUAACAAACGGAAUAUGCCUUUAUAAAUAAGCUUAGCUUUAGACAAAUAAGUUUAGUUUUACACCUUAAUCAAGAGACUACCAAACUAAUAUAAAUAAUAGUACAAACUAAAUGUGAUCUCAAAUAUAAUAUGAACAUAAUAGUACAAAUAAAAUGUGAUCUCUUAGUAUAAUACCUUAUCUGUAGUUAUAAAUAAAUAUAAUAUAAACUAUUAAUAAUAAUAUAAUAAAUAA